ensembl:lncRNA
UGGUCGUUGUGUUAUGCACACGCCUGUUAGCCGCCGCGCGCGUCCGUUUCUCUAGCGUUUGCUAUUAUCACAGCCCAUAAUACCUGGCUGAUUAUCCAUUCAGCGAAGGCGUCGCUAGCGCUACUGUUAUGAUAAUAGCAACGCGCUGCGCGGGUAAUCCACAACGCAGCCGCGGCUCUCAGCUAUGCUAAUGCUGAUGGUGGGUGGCCGUGAACACAAACGGCGCUAGCACUAUAGCGCUAGCCCGAGCACUAGCACUAGCGCUAGCGUGAUGGUGGGGGUUAUUGGUAAUCGUCUCAUUGUUGAAUGGUUAACUAAUCGCCGGUCCCUGUGCUGGUGGAUCGGAGCUCUGACUGGGGCCUGUGAGUCCUGCACUGGGUGUGAGGAGACCCGGCAGGUAAUCGCUCUCCCCACGGAGCCCUUUGGAUCCUAGAGGAGACGGGGAUUAGCUCAUUUAGCACAUUUGAUUUGGUUAAGACGACCACCUGUUCGCCCGACGGAAUGCUAAUAUGUUACCGUGACAACAGCCAGGGAUAAAACUGUCUGGAGCGCGCGCUGGUCCUCCACCUUGGAAAUAUAUACCUACCAACCUCUCACAGACCCCAGUCGAACCCGGGCAGAUCCACCAGGCAACAACACACGGAACCAGCAGAACAGAUCAAUAAAUCAGGACAAACCUCACGUGGACACACAACUGACCUGGAUGGAGAGCAGCGUUAGAGAUGAGACGGGAGACGAUACGGAAGAAAAGACUCACAACCCCCACAGCCAGCGCACACUCCCUAACGUUGAUGCAUCCAAACCCCUUCCUUCAACUGUGUGCGUGUUUGUUGGGGGAGGGGGGAGGAGAUAGAGAGGGAGAGAUAUAUCUGUACACAGAGCCUAAGGCCCAUGUGCUCAGCUCUCUGGAUGAAGACAUGCUCCAUUGGAAAUGAACGGAUGUUCUGAAAACGACCAAGCAGCCAAUGAAAUACGAGGGAGUAGUGGAACUUUAACCAGACCGCAGAGAAGUCCCUCAGAGGUGUCCUCCGGAGCCUGGCUGGCGGCUGCGUGGCAGACAGAACCGGCCCAGCAGGCUGAGCGGCGGCGUCGUGGUCCGGGGAGCGGAGGGGAAGGAGUCCGCCCCCCCCCUGCUGUGAAUGUACCAGAAGCCAACGGAGGAGGCUGCUGCUGCUGCCGCCGCCGCCGCCGCCGCCGCGGCGUCAGACAACAGAGGACUCACCUCCG